rnacentral:rRNA from 1 species
ACUUUAAGGUUUCUAUCUGAUAAGAAAAGAUAACAAGCCCAAUCCUGUCUGAUCUCAGAAGCUAAACAGAGUCUGGCCCAGUUAGUACUUGGAUGGGAGACCACCUAGGAAGACCAGGUGCUGUAGGUG